CCUUUAGAUAAAAAUUUAAGGUCUAAUCUGCCCGCUGAGGAAUUGAAUGGCCGCGGUAUUUUGACCGUGCGAAGGUAGCAUAAUCAUUAGUUUUUUAAUUGAAAGCUGGAAUGAAUGAUUGAAUGAGAAAAUAACUGUCUCAAGUUAAUUUUUUUAGAAAUUUAUUUUUAAGUUAAAAAGCUUAAAUAUUUUUAAAAGACGAGAAGACCCUAUAGAGUUUUAUAUUUAAUUUAAUUUAUAUUAAAUUGUUUUUAUUAAUUAUAAUUUGUUUUAAUUAUUUUGUUGGGGUGACAAAAAAAUUUAAAAAACUUUUUUUUAAUUUUUAUACUAAUAAGUAAUUUUUUGAUCCAAUAUUUUUGAUUAUAAGAUUAAAUUACCUUAGGGAUAACAGCGUAAUUUUUUUUGAGAGUUCAUAUCGAAAAAAAAGGUUGCGACCUCGAUGUUGGAUUAAAGUUAAGUUUUGGUGUAGAAGCUAAAAUUUUAGGUCUGUUCGACCUUUAAAACUUU
rnacentral:rRNA from 1 species